ensembl:lncRNA
AUGGAAAUACCACCCACCAAUACAACUGAAUCACCAACAACCACAACUGAAUCACCAACUGCCACAACUAAAUCAACAACAACUUUGACAACAACUGAAAUACCAACUACUAUUACAACAGUAUCACCAACAACCACAACAGAAUCUCCAACGACCACAACUGAAUCACCAACAACCACAACCGAAACAUUGACCACAAUAACUGAGGCACCAACAACAACCACAACUGAAGCAACAACCACAACAACUGCAGCAACAACCACUACAACUGAGGCACCAACGACAACCACAACUGAAGCAACAACCACAACAACUGAAGCAACAACGACAACCACAACUGAAGCAACAACCACAGCAACUGAGGCACCAACAACAACCACAACUGAAGCAACAAUUACAACAACUGAAGCACCAACAACAACCACAACUGAAGCAACAACCACAACAACUGAAGCAACAAUUACAACUGAGGUACCAACGACAACCACAACUGAAAAACCUCCAACAACAACAAUGGAAAUACCACCUACCACUACAACUGAAUCACCAACUGCCACAAAUAAAUCAACAACAACUUCGACAACAACUGAAAUACCAACUACUACUACUACAACAGUAUCACCAACAACCACAACAGAAUCUCCAACGACCACAACUGAAUCACCAACAACCACAACAGAAACAUUGACCACAAUAACUGAGGCACCAACAACAACCACAACAGAAGCAACAAUUACAACAACUGAAGUAACAAUUACAACUGAGGCACCAACGACAACCACAACUGAAGCAACAACUACAACAGAAGCAACGGCCACAACAACUGAGGCACCAACAACAACUCCAACUGAGGCACCAACAACAACUCCAACUGAGGCACCAACAACCACAACCAAAUCAUUAACAACCACAACUCAAUCAUUAACAACCACAACUGAAUCAUUAACAACCACAACAACUGAAUCACCAACAUCCACAACAACUGAAUCACCAACAAGAACAACUGAAACACCUACAACCACUACAACAACUGACUCACCAACAUCUACAACCGACUCACCAACGACCACAACUGAAUCACCAAUGACCACAACUGAAUCACCAACAACCACAACAGAAACAUUGACCACAAUAACUGAGGCACCAACGACAACCACAACAGAAGCAACAAUUACAACAACUGAAGUAACAAUUACAACUGAGGCACCAACGACAACCACAACUGAAGCAACAACUACAACAGAAGCAACGACCACAACAACUGAGGCACCAACAACAACUCCAACUGAGGCACCAACAACAACUCCAACUGAGGCACCAACAACCACAACCAAAUCAUUAACAACCACAACUCAAUCAUUAACAACCACAACUGAAUCAUUAACAACCACAACAACUGAAUCACCAACAUCCACAACAACUGAAUCACCAACAAGAACAACUGAAACACCUACAACCACUACAACAACUGACUCACCAACAUCUACAACCGACUCACCAACGACCACAACUGAAUCACCAACGACCACAACUGAAUCACCAACAACCACAACUGAAUCAACAAAAACUUCUACUACAACUGAAUCACCACCUUCUACUACAACGGAAAAACCAACAACUGAAACUUCAACAAACACAACUGCAUCACCAACCUCAACAACUGAGGCACCUACGACCUCAACACCUUGA